AUUGAACGCUGGCGGCAGGCCUAACACAUGCAAGUCGAGCGGAGCGGCGGACGGGUGAGUAAUGCCUAGGAAUCUGCCUGGUAGUGGGGGAUAACGUCCGGAAACGGGCGCUAAUACCGCAUACUAUCAGAUCAGCCUAGGUCGGAUUAGCUAGUGGGGGGGGUAAAGGCCUACCAAGGCGACGAUCCGUAACUGGUCUGAGAGGUUGAUCAGUCAAACUGGAACUGAGAAAGGGUCCAGACUCAUACGGGGGGCAGCAGGGGGGAAUAUUGGAAAAUGGGAGAAAGCCUGAUCCAGCCAUGCCGGGUGUGUGAAGAAGGUCUUCGGAUUGUAAAGCACUUUAAGUUGGGAGGCGUUACCAACAGAAUAAGCACCGGCUAACUUCGUGCCAGUAGCCGCGGUAAUA
rnacentral:rRNA from 1 species